UCCUAAUACCGGUGAGUGGACUUGCAUUUCAAAACUUGUUUUGGGGAUAUAAUGUAUUUGUCAAACAUUUGAAUGGAUUAUCCAGCUUUUCAUAAAAACAAGUGCCUUGGGAACAAGCUUUUGAUAGAUUGUCUUCAUGUUGUGACAUGUGACUAUUAUUGAUUCAUGCACUACCACAUUGUGUUGAUAUAUAUAUAUAUGAAUACAUUGUUGUGUAAUGAUAUUGACUCGGCUAUGUGUGAGUAGGGAGUGCGCAUAAGCAGAUGAUGACCCGGUUAUGUGCGAGUAGGGAGUGCGCAUAAGCCGGUGAUAACCCGGUUAUGUGCAAGUAGGGAGUGCGCAUAACCUGGUGAUGACCUAGCCAUGUGCGAGUAGGGAGUGCGCAUGAGCUGGGAAUAAUGAUGAUGAUGGGAUGGUGUGCAUGAUGAUGAUGGGUAUAUGGUUGUAAAUGCAAAUAUGUGAGCAUUUGAUUUGUUGAAAUUUGGGAGUUUAAAUGUGUUACAUGUUGCUAUUGUUAUUUUAGCAGGAUGACUUGUUUUAAGGGAAAAGGAGACUUUUUCCUUGAUGUUCAGAUUCUCGCUGCAACGAGAUUCAUUCUCGCUGCAACGAGAAACUCUCGAGUUUGAGGGCCUUUACCAGACUUGGUUUUCACUGCAGCAAGAAUGAAGUUCAUUGCAGUGAGAAACUUUCUAUCCAUUUUGCUAACUUGUGGGUUUUUGCCAUAUUUCCCAUUUUCUUGGUACCAUAGUUGAGCAUGGAUCUUUGUAAAGUGAUUUACUCAUGUGGGGUUUGCAUAAGGGGUUUAAAAGAACCAAAAUAAUUGCAUUGUUUUGAGAAAAUGAAUGCAUCAUGAUUUCGUUAAACAUUCCUUAUGGUAUGCUUGUUCCUUUUCUUGUUCACUCAUUGAGUUUAUGCUCACCGCUUUCAACUUCAUAUUUUCAGAUUACGAGGCAGCUGGUAACUAGGUCGAGGUACCUUUGUAGACUCGACUAUUGGUAGGUGUCUCGACAUUUAGUAGCUGUACAUUCGUCAAGUUUCUCCGCUGGACAUCGAGUCUUCUUUUGUUAUGAAUAGACGAACCUAAUGUGAAUUAUUAAGAUAUAUGUUGUAGACAGUGUAUAUACACUUGUUUGGUAUACCAGUAUGAGGGGCAAUGUUCAAUAUUAUUUCGAUUCUAAGUUAUGAUAUAUAACUUAGCAGUUUAUGAUGGAAUAAUGAAUAUGUCAGAUUAAUAGGCUUGCUUAGGCUUAGUGGACUACGUCCAUUGGGUCCAUGCGCCGGUCAUGGCCUAAAAUUUGGGUUGUGACAAUGUUGGUAUCAGAGCUCUAGGUUUGUCUAGGUCAUAGGACUUCCAUUUGUUGGUCCAGUAGAGUGUCAGGUUUUUAUGUGGGAACUUCAGUUGUGAAGUGUGAAUCGCGGCACAUUUUACGACCAAGGGACUGCAUAGAUUCCCUAUCUUAGAAACCACCUUUCCCUUGAGUAUGAUUAUGAAAUGUGUUUAGUAACAGGUGUUUGCUCAUCUUGGUAAGAAUGCAGCCUAAGACAUGAGCCACCUCAAGACGGAUGGGGGAGCAAGAUGCUCCUACUGAGAUGGCAAAUAGGCCACGGGCAUCCAACCUAAGGGGCCGAGGUAGACGUGGCAGGGCCACUAGGCUGGUGAAGGUGGAUACUCCUGUGGGUAAGUAAGAGGAGGGACAGUCCUCAGGUGAUGUAGAUAGACACCCAACUGGGGGUAUUACCAUUGAGGAUUUGACGGCAGGCUUACAGGGAGUUAAUCGGGUUGUAGAGAUGAUGACGACUCGUAUGGAGGAUAUACAGAGGGUAGUAGAGGGGAGACCUACAGUGCAAGAAUCCCCUAACUCCUAAGGACAAGCCGACCGCCAAUAUCAUGAGGUUGAGAGGGGUCACUUAGAGAUUUCUUUUCCUGAUUUUCUUAAGCUUAAGCCUCCAUCAUUUUCAGGGUCCGAUGCAUCGAAAAAGCCCCAGAUCUUUUUAGGUAAGAUGGAGAAAAUAUGUAAGGCUUUGGGAUGCUCUAGUGUCUGAUCAAUCGAGCUAGCACAUUUUAGAGUGAGGCCUAUUUUAAUGGACAAGAUUAAAGAAACACAAGGUAAAGAUGAGUUUAUAGUUAAGGCCUUAGAGGAUCCUCAAGGAAGAAAAGGAAAAAUGUUUACCAAAGGCAUAGAUGGAGUGAAGAGGUAACAUGGGAGGUCGAUGAGGAUAUAUGGAAAAAGUAUCCCCACCUUCUUGUUGCAUAGAGGUAAGUGACCUUAUAGUUGAAUUUAAAUUCGAGGACCGAAUUUCUUUAAGUGGGAGAGAAUGUGAGACCUUGACCCUUAUAGACUCAUAGAUAGAAACAUACGCGAUAUCCCUAAUCAAGGGUAAUUUCGUCAUUUUCUUAAUAAGCCCAUAAAAGUAAGUUUUAAACAAUAUUAUGGCUUAAGUAGGCCUAAAGCAUAAAUGAAUGAUGAAAAUAUGGGUGAAAUGACAAGGAAAUAAAAUUUUUGAUGAUUUUCAUGUUUUAGGGGCAAAAUGGUCACUUUUGUCACUUGAGGAUAAAAUAGAAAUUUUUGAAAUUUUACACCACCCUAACACUUGUCAAGCCCAUGGAUUUCAGCCAUUAACAUUUUACAUUAUGGAUAAUUGAAACAUUUUAUGAGGUGGAGAAAGAUUGCUUAAUNGUUUUAGGGGCAAAAUGGUAAUUUUGUCACUUGAGGAUAAAAUAGAAAUUUUUGAAAUUUUACACCACCUAACACUUGUCAUGCCCAUGGAUUUCAACCAUUAACAUUUUACAUUAUGGAUAAUUGAAACAUUUUAUGAGGUGGAGAGAGAUUGCUUAAUGGAUAAGUAUUACACAUGGACCAAUGAAAACAUGCCAUGUGUCAAGCUUGGAUCAUUCUAGAAUUUCCUUGUCAAAUCUAUUUAAAACUCUCUUAGUAUCACCCAUAUGGCUGGCCAAAGCAUAAAGUGAAGAGGAAAGGAAAGAACACAAACCCUAGGUGGGAAAAUUGAAGAAAAAGUGUGGGAUUCUAAGGAAUUAAGCAAGGUAAAGUGAAAAUUCUUUAUUUUUACUUGAGAUUUACAAUACCCAUGCUUUAUUUUCUUAUUUCUAUGGUUGAGAACCAUGAUUUCAUAGUGAAUAAGUGGUAGGCAAAAUGGGUAUGGAGAGAGAAUGAUCUUGGAUUGGUUUGAUUUUUAGGUAUGUUAGUAUUUUUAGGUGAUUAAUGAUGUGUAGCAUGAAAACAAGUGAAGAAAACUACCAAAGGUUUAGUGCCCAUCAAUAGCCAAAUUCUCUAAGUGAAUAAUGAGGAAGAAUGGGAUGUUAUUCUAGGUGAUUUGAUUAAGAAAUAAUAGUUUUUGGUGUAGGAACUAAUGAAUAAUGGUGAGAAAAUUAAGUAGGAAAAAUCAUGGAGUUAGUGUACCAUUGUUGGCCAAAGUUCCAAGAAAAAAAAUGAAGAUAAAUUUUGCCUAAUUAUGUGUUAAUUAGUUUGUGCUUGGUGAAUUGAGGGAUUGGAAAAGAAAUGGAGCAAGUUGGAGUGAAAUUGGACGCAUUGGCCAAUUUAUUGGAUGAAAAAUCGACUUAGGCCAAUACCGGAUCUAGAUGGCUACCCGUGCAUUUUUCAUUUCAUAUAAUAUAUAUAUCGAGCCUGAAUAACUUAUGACUGUUAGACAUAAUUUAAUUGGAAUAUGUGUCAUGGAUUAUGGCUAGGUGGUGAGCCAUUGGACAUGGGUAAAGGACUGUACCCGCGAAUUGAAAAUAAGAGUGUUUCUACUCCUAAUACCAGUGAGUGGACUUGCAUUUCAAAACUUGUUUUGGGGAUAUAAUGUAUUUGUCAAACAUUUGAACGGAUUAUCCAGCUUUUCAUAAAAACAAGUGCCUUGGGAACAAGCUUUUGAUAGAUUGUCUUCAGGUUGUGACAUGUGACUAUUAUUGAUUCAUGCACUACCACAUUGUGUUGAUAUAUAUAUAUGAAUACAUUGUUGUGUAAUGAUAUUGACUCGGCUAUGUGCGAGUAGGGAGUGCUCAUAAGCCGAUGAUGACCCGAUUAUGUGCCAGUAGGGAGUGCGCAUAACAUGGUGAUGACCUAGCCAUGUGAGAGUAGAGAGUGCGCAUGAGCUGGGAAUGAUGAUGAUGAUGAUGGGAUGGUGUGCAUGAUGAUGAUGAUGGGAUGGUGUGCAUGUUGAUGAUGGGAAUAUGGUUAUAAAUGCAAAUAUGUGAGCAUUUGAUUUGUUGAAAUUUGAGAGUUUACAUGUGUUACAUGUUGCUAUUGUUAUUUUAGCAGGAUGGCUUAUUUUAAGGGAAAAGGAGACUUUUUCCUUGAUGUUUUGAUCCUCGCUGCAGCGAGAAACUCUCGAGUUUGAGGGCCUUCACCAGACUUGGUUCUCGCUGUAGCGAGAAUGAAGCUCGCUGCAGUGAGAACUUUCUGUCCAUUUUGCUAACUUGUGGGUUUUUGCCAUAUUUCCCAUUUCUUUGGUGCCAUAGUUGAGCAAUGAUCUUUGUAAAGUGAUUUACUCAUGUGGGGUUUACAUGAGGGGUUUAAAAGAGCUAAAACAAUUGCAUUGUUUUGAGAAAAUGAAUGCAUCAUGAUUUCGUUAAACAUUCCUUAUGGUAUGCUUGUUCCCUUUCUUGUUCACUCACUGAAUUUAUGCUCACCACUUUCAACUUCAUGUUUUCAGAUUACGAGGUAGCUGGUAACUAGGUCGAGGUACCUUUGUAGACUCGACUAUUGGUAGGUGUCUCUGCAUUUAGUAGCUGUACAUUCAUCAAGUUUCUCCGCUGGACAUCGAGUCUUCUUUUGUUAUGAAUAGACGAACCUAAUGUGAAUUAUUAAGAUACAUGUUGUAGACAAUGUAUAUACACUUGUUUGGUAUGCUAGUAUGAGGGGCAAUGUUCAAUAUUAUUUCGAUUCUAAGUUAUGAUAUAAGACUUAGCAGUUUAUGAUGGAAUAAUGAAUAUGUCAGAUUAAUAGGCUUGUUUGGGCUUAGUGGACUACGUCCAUUAGGUCCAUGCAUCGGUCAUGGCCCGAAAUUUGGGUCGUGAUAGUUGUGCUACCCAUAGGGCGGCACUUUGUUUUUGUCCCUUGAGUUCUUCCUUACGUAACGUCCAUAAGAUAGGCACCUAAUUUCUUAGCCCUUAUGGGGCAUGACAUGUAUGCGUCCCUUGAAUUUGUGAUGCUUAGGGUGCGUGGCAACAUAAUGUGUGUCUUGUGUGUGGCCCCUGAUUUCAUGGCCUACUUGUGUGCGGUUUACAAAUUUGGGAGCUAACAUGCAUGCCCUGAUGGCCGUGGUCCUGCUAAGCCCCUCUUCAAGGUGCCUUGCCUAUGUGGCUUGGGUUACUUGGGAAGCCCCUUUUUUUGCAUGCUGGUUCAAUGGUUGGUUAGGCUGGUGAUAACUCUAUUAUAUAGAGUUAUUUUUAACACACUUUGGGGAAUUUAGUAGCUAGACCUUUGAGUUUUACGUUUGGAUUUUAGCAUUUUAGCUGUUUUCUUAGUUAAGUUAGAUUAUAUGUUGAAUAGUUAAAUUAAGUGAUUUAAGUUUAAUUUUAAUUUAUUUGGUUUAAUAACUUUAAGAAGAGUUAAUGUCGGUUUCUCUCAUGGUUAUGUACAGGAUAUGUGAUGAGCAAGGUGAAAUUGAGUUAUGAUAGCACAAGUAUGGUGAAGGUGUCACUUGUACAUGUUGCAGUAAUUUGAAGAUAAUUUGAGUUAUAGAAAUCCAAUUGAUGUGAUUUUUCAUUCAUUGGAAAUCUAAGAAAAUGGGCUAUAACUUUCAUGUUUUCCACUUUAUCCAGUUCGGACCAGCUAGAGAUAAAAAUCAUAUUCAAAAUUGAUACAUAGAUGUAGUUAUGCACUUAAAGUAGCAUGGAUUGAGGUCGGGGCACUGAAAGUGAGACCGCCGUAGCGUCAAAGAACUAUGGCCAUGGUAUUGAACAUCAUGGGAGCAUCAUACAAAAACCCAAGAGCAUAGUGCUGUUGUGGAGCUACCAAGGAAGACCACAGCGUCACGGCGCCAGAAAGUUAUGGCCUUUGCGCCAUCCCAACUUCAAAAAAUAUACUAUCGACGAAAAAUUGGAAAGUAGGGCAGCUUGCACAUAUUUAAGAGCCUUUUUGGAGCAUAAUCAAGGGGGAGACGACAACAGCUAUUUUGGAUAAUUGGAUCUAUGAAUCAAGAAAGAAUUCAAGAGUGAUUGAGAGGGUUUCCAGAUUUACCAGGAUUCAACAUUAGUUUUUUUCUCUCUUUUUGUUGUUCUCAAUUUCUUGUUUUGAAUUCCUUGCUAAAUUUUUUUGGAUGUUGCUUUUAUUGGUUAUUAUGAGCUAAAUUAUCUUUCUAGGAUUGUGGUGGAUUUUAACAUGUAAUCUGAAUAUUUGUUUUUGUUUUAUU
rnacentral:lncRNA from 1 species